UACGGAGGGUGCGAGCGUUGUCCGGAAUCACUGGGCGUAAAGGGCGCGUAGGCGGCUGGGGAAGUCGGCGGUGAAAGCCCGGAGCUCAACUCCGGGUCGGCCGUCGAGACUCCUCGGCUCGAGCUCACUAGAGGCAGAGUGGAAUUCCGGGUCGUAGCGGUGGAAUGCGUAGAGAUCCGGAAGAACACCGGUGGCGAAGGCGGUCUGCUGGGGUGAGGCUGACGCUGAGGCGCGACAGCGUGGGGAGCAAACAGG
rnacentral:rRNA from 1 species